GAAAAUGCAAUGGUGACGAUAAAACAUUUACAAGGAUGUACCGACACACCUUAACUUGUUAACUGCCGUGGCUACUGAUGGCCACAGCAGGUAGCUCUGCUGCACCAUUGGCAGUGUUGCGGCAGUCACUAUGUUCAUGGAAAUGAUGGUCAGAGAGGGCUCUAUUUAGAAAAUUUCAGAUUUGCAACCACUUGCAGACUUGAAGCAUUUUGAAAGAUGAACAAAAUUAAACUAGAAAAACUUAGGAGUCAUGCUGCAUAUUGGAAGGACAAGAGAAAUUAAGAGCUGAAGUGGUGUGAAUGUACAGACAAGUGCGUCAUUCGGACCAGCUUCGGCCUCGUGUGCCGGCAACGCCUGUUCCGGAUGCCGCU
rnacentral:lncRNA from 1 species